AGCUGUGUCACUGAGACAGAAAAACGCUGGCAGGAAGUGGGAUGAUGAAUUUACAAUACUCUAGGGCUGCCCUCUGCAUCCUUUCGGUGAUUGUUUUUUCCUCCAAAUCGUCAAGCGAGAAGACUGGUUAUCACGAUGGACCUCGUAUUUACGCGAGGGAUAAAUAUUUGGAUUGCCCUCUCCCUCUAGCAGGGAUUUAACCUUUAAGAAAUGAGCAGGAGAAUAUCCCGCAGUAAUAGGGUCUCCACACUUACUAGACUUUUUGCAGUAAUACCCUCAGCUACAGAUAUACUGGAAUGUAAACUUGCGAGUUUGUCACGUUUAGACUGUAAGCACUGUAAACAGAAUUGUCUCGUUGAGACAACACUCUUACAGUAAAAUUGUAAUAGCAAUGAUUUUGAAACGGCUGAAAUGUACAUAUAUUUUUCGUAUUUUUAAAAACGUGUUUUAUUGAUUUUAAAAAUACCUGAAAUUGAAAUUGUAGUAACAGCCUGUUACAUAAAAAAAAAAAAUCGCCGUAGCUUUAAAUCUCAACAAUGUUUUGUUGUUUUGCUUGACUGCGUGGAGGUCCAGGCAAGAAGCAUCUCCCCAGGGAAUAAUCGUUUUCAGUCGCUGUAGCAAGCUAUGCUUUAGUUUUCGAGAUGAUCGAUCUCUGCCGAGGGAGUAGCUGGUUUUUACACAUUGUGUAUAUGUAUUUCCGUUGGUAGGUAAUGUCAAUUCUUGCACUUUAAUUAUUAUUUUUUUAAUGUUCGCUAGUUGUACAGGCAAACAUCGGCGAGUAUCAAACUGUAAACUAAUCAAAACUCGUGUACUAUCUCUGCUGAUCAUGUCAGCCAACCACGUUUUCCGUAUCUAAAGGUAGUAAACUGCUGAGGAAACCUCGAGAGAGAUUGCUGUCCGACAAACUGCUAUCAGUUGGAGUAGGAUGAUUGCAGAGCACCCUGCCUCAGACUCUCUCCUGUGUCCUGCUCCAAGAGAUCAACCAAGUACUAUCCACACUAUUUAGACAUUGAGACUGCAUAUGCAUUUGCCUGUUGUCUUUUCUUUGUGGGUUUUGUCUUACAAGGUGUAGUGCAUUUCAGAGUUAAAGAACACCAACUACAGAUACACAUGCUUGUUUGAGCGUCUCAGUUUAGAUUCAGUUUAACAGGUGACAAAUGGAUGAUUAUUGUAAUAUGCAGUGGGGAGAAUUAUAUUGCCCCAAUCAGGAGCCCAGGCUUUCGCCAUAGAUGGUAGAGUUCUCGUCUCUGGACCACACAAGCUUUAGAGUGAGAGGCACUUGUCUCUCUCUACAUCCGUCAGCAACAUUGGUGAGCAGGGUGGGAUCCUUUCGAUAUGCCUAUGGGGCCUGGGCACACAAAUGCUUUUAGAGAGAAGGGGGAAUACUGAAGCAUGCCAUGAUGACAGUUGUAACAUCUCCAUCAGAGGCCCAGGCUUUUGGCAUAGAUGGUAAAGCUUUCAUUUCUGGACUGCAAUAUUGUAAGAUUGUUACCUCCACGGCACUUGAUAUACAUGUAUUGGUAGGUUACACUAUAUUUAGAUACUUCAAAUACUGCUUGAGACACCUUUUGCUAUUUGUCUCCGUACUCAAUAAAUGGUGAAACACUAUUUGUAAUGCUGGUCUUUGUUCAUAUGUAUAUGCAUGAAACUUAGAUUAUGGAAAACGAAAACAUGACUCAUACUCAGUCAUAGUUAGUAGAAUAAUGAAUGGAUUGGCAAGAUUUUGGCACCGUCAACUUCUAGGUUAGUAGAAAAGUAAAUAAUUUAAACCACCUAAAUAUACUCACAUUCACUGAAUAUUUUAGUAUUUGAAAUAAAUAUUCAUUUCCCCAACUGCUUUUUCUAUAAGCCUACAGGCUCUUUAUUAUUGUUCAAACCUUAUAUUAUUCCAAUGCAUCCAACAUUAUGCAUGCCCACCAUGGUAUUGGGCAGCUGCUAUUUGAGAACUCGUCUGGUUUCUAAAUCUUAUUGCAGAGCACAUUGUACAAAUGUUUUUAGAG